GUAGAUAAACAUGCAUUAUUUCGCAAGGACUUACACAGGAUAAUAACCUCAACAUCAAAACCUUGAAUCCAGAUCCAAAUUCCAUACCUAAAACCUUGAUUUUGGACAAAAUUGCCUGAAUGGAUUAUUACUACCAAGGAUUAUCAAGAAAAAUCUUCUAACAAACCAAAACCUGCAGAAGAAACACAGAGGAACCUGGAAAUACCCUCCAACACAAAACUGAGACCUGAGCCCUAGGACCAUGCCUCAGGACUACCUGGCAUGAUGACUCCUUGCUGUCCCCAGUCCACCUGGCCGUGCUGCUGCUCCGCCUGUGGCUAUGGAACCCUGACCUGUUCACCGGACGUGCUUGUUGCACCCUCGACAACUACUAUGAUUAUUAUUAUUUGACCAUGCUGGUCAUUUAUGAACAUUUUAACAUCUUGACCAUGUUCUGUUAUAAUAUCCACCCGGCACAGCCAAAAGAGGACUGGCCACCCCUCAUAGCCUGGAUCCUCUCUAGGUUUCUUCCUAGGUUUUUGGCCUUUCUAGGGAGUUUUUCCUAGGGAGUUUUUCCUAGCCACCGUGCUUCUUUCACAUGCAUUGCUUGCUGUUUGGGGUUUUAGGCUGGGUUCUGUUCAGCACUUUGAGAUAUCAGCUGAUGUACGAAGGGCUAUAUAAAUACAUUUGAUUUGAUUUGAAGUCAUUUCUACAUGGCUUAGAGAUGUCAGAUGUACAUUUAGGC
rnacentral:lncRNA from 1 species